AUUGAACGCUGGCGGCAUGCUUUACACAUGCAAGUCGAACGGCAGCGCGGGGCAACCUGGCGGCGAGUGGCGAACGGGUGAGUAAUAUAUCGGAACGUACCCAAGACUGGGGGAUAACGUAGCGCAAGUUACGCUAAUACCGCAUACGAUCUAAGGAUGAAAGUGGGGGAUCGCAAGACCUCAUGCUCCUGGAGCGGCCGAUAUCUGAUUAGCUAGUUGGUGAGGUAAAGGCUCACCAAGGCGACGAUCAGUAGCUGGUCUGAGAGGACGACCAGCCACACUGGAACUGAGACACGGUCCAGACUCCUACGGGAGGCAGCAGUGGGGAAUUUUGGACAAUGGGCGCAAGCCUGAUCCAGCAAUGCCGCGUGAGUGAAGAAGGCCUUCGGGUUGUAAAGCUCUUUUGUCAGGGAAGAAACGGUAGAGGCUAAUAUCCUUUGCUAAUGACGGUACCUGAAGAAUAAGCACCGGCUAACUACGUG
rnacentral:rRNA from 1 species